UGCAAUCCUUACCACCUCCAGCCUGUAAC
rnacentral:sRNA from 1 species